GACGAACGCUGGCGGCGUGCUUAACACAUGCAAGUCGAACGGAAAGGCCCUGCUUUUGUGGGGUGCUCGAGUGGCGAACGGGUGAGUAACACGUGAGUAACCUGCCCUUGACUUUGGGAUAACUUCAGGAAACUGGGGCUAAUACCGGAUAGGAGCUCCUGCUGCAUGGUGGGGGUUGGAAAGUUUCGGCGGUUGGGGAUGGACUCGCGGCUUAUCAGCUUGUUGGUGGGGUAGUGGCUUACCAAGGCUUUGACGGGUAGCCGGCCUGAGAGGGUGACCGGCCACAUUGGGCCUGAGAUACGGCCCAGACUCCUACGGGAGGCAGCAGUGGGGAAUAUUGCACAAUGGGCGGAAGCCUGAUGCAGCAACGCCGCGUGCGGGAUGACGGCCUUCGGGUUGUAAACCGCUUUCGCCUGUGACGAAGCGUGAGUGACGGUAGUGGGUAAAGAAGCACCGGCUAACUACGUG
rnacentral:rRNA from 1 species